CCUACGGGAGGCAGCAGUGGGGAAUAUUGGACAAUGGGCGAAAGCCUGAUCCAGCCAUGCCACGUGUGUGAAGAAGGCCUUCGGGUUGUAAAGCACUUUCAGUGGGGAAGAAAGCCUUGGGGCUAAUACCCUCGAGGAAGGACAUCACCCACAGAAGAAGCACCGGCUAACUCCGUGCCAGCAGCCGCGGUAAUACGGAGGGUGCGAGCGUUAAUCGGAAUUACUGGGCGUAAAGCGCGCGUAGGCGGUCUGAUAAGCCGGUUGUGAAAGCCCCGGGCUCAACCUGGGAACGGCAUCCGGAACUGUCAGGCUAGAGUGCAGGAGAGGAAGGUAGAAUUCCCGGUGUAGCGGUGAAAUGCGUAGAGAUCGGGAGGAAUACCAGUGGCGAAGGCGGCCUUCUGGACUGACACUGACGCUGAGGUGCGAAAGCGUGGGUAGCAAACAGGAUUAGAUACCCCGGUAGUC
rnacentral:rRNA from 1 species